UAAACACUUGAAGAAAACUAAAUACAGUACUAAUUCACCUUUUGUAGGAGCUAUUCCACUCGACAAACAAAUGACUCCAAGAACCUCUCUUACACUCUUGAUCCUUGCUCUCAACCUCCUCUUCUUCACUUACACAUCUGCCGCAUUAUUGCCACCGAUCCCGGGCAUCACGGUCCUCCCGGGCAUCACGGUCAUCCCGGGCAUCACCGUCCCGGGCAUCACGGUCCCGGGCAUCCCGGCCACGCCAAACACCCCAGCCACGCCAAACACCCCGACCAAGCCAAACACCCCGACCAAGCCAAACACCCCGACCAAGCCAACGAUCCCGACCACGCCAGCCACCCCAGCCACCCCAGCAACGCCAGCCACCCCUGCCACUCCAGCCACCCCAGCAACGCCAAACACCCCAACGUCUCCGACACUCCGCACACCUCCAGGCACAGGUUCUUUAUCCUAGAGAUGCUCUAAAGAACGGUGUUUAAGCUAUUGGACCUAAGAUUGGAAUCUCACCUGAGCCAUGUUGCUCAUCUAAGGCUUUUUGUUGUUUAUAUUUGGUUUUUAUGUGUGCAACUUAUGCAUUUGCUGAGUAUCUUGAAUUUCUAAAGUUUGUUUGUUUUAAGAAAAUAUGUCGCACAUAAUUUAGACAGCAUAUAAAAUAUUUUCUAACUUUUAUCAUUUUUCAAAUACACAGGUUUACUUUUUCUCUACGUAAUUAGACUUUAUUUUAUGAGGAUAAACUAUGACUUUUUGUUAAAGUUUUGCAUUGAAACAACACUUUUUUUUUGAAAAGAAAACAAAGAUCUAAAACAACACUUAAUUUUAAAAGAAAUAAUGUAUUUUGUAAAGGAUUUUUUUUUUUUUUGUAUAUAAAAAAUUAAUAUUUCAUCCCAACCGGAUUUUAGGCCAUGGACUUGGGAAAUGGGGUUUACAUCUAAUUUACAAUUUCAAAAAAAGAAGGAAACCGAUGACUCGAAAUUGGACAUUGAUGGUGUUCGGAAACAAGGAAACACAUCCACUACUACCGGCGAUUACAAGAAACACUGCUUUGCGGCUACAUCAACGAUAUCGAAUCCAGGUAAUAAGUUCAUGUCGCAAAGCCGAUCCGGACGACAAGCCUCAACCCGCAACAUUUAUCCCGAAAUAGAUCGGUUCUCAGAAAAUCUGAGACCUAAUCUAUCUAAUCCCCUACCUAGCAAAAAGGGAGAACUCAGAUCGAUCUAACACUUAGCCUCCGGUACCAACAAGCAUCAGACAUAAAAAAAGGGACCUUUCAGCUUCAUAUGUCAAGGUUCCAGAUCGCUAUGUUGACGCUAUCUUCUAACCACCACGUUAUAUAUCCUUCUUGUUGCACUUGCACCACAAAACCUCUAUAUUUCAUUUUCAGAUCUCUUUUUCUAUGUAUACGUAAACAUAUCUAUAUAGUAUAUAUACGUUAUUGGAAUUCUUUGCUAAGAACUUGAAAUGAAGCAAACAGUCUUAUUAGGUAACACAAAAAAAAAAGAAGUUUUUUUCAGAUUUCUCAAUGUUCUUUUACCAAAAUAUGUUAUUGUUCUUUUUUUCCGCCAAAUAUGGUAUUGUUCAUAUUCAAGGUCCGUGAGCUUUGCUUCAGAGUAGUAGGCUUUGGAUACUUUUGAUAAAACCCCAUAUUGUAUGUCAAGGCCCAUUAAGAUGCGGAUCCAAGCCUUGACGUUUAAACAAAUAUAAGUCUUCUCGUAGGUAACAUCAAAGGCCUAUUAGCUCAGUUGGUUAGAGCGUCGUGCUAAUAACGCAAAGGUCACAGGUUCGAUCCCUGUAUAGGCCAUUACUUUUUAUAUUUUUAGUCAUCGUCGUUCCAACUUCCCCAACCAUCAUCAAUAUUUGAUUUUCAUUCCACUCAGGUGGUCACUUCACCAGUAGAGUUUUUGUGUGAAUUGAUAACAAAAAUGUUUGUAAGCUUAAAUUUUUCCUGUGCAUAGUAAAACAAAAAAACCAAGCACUGUAAUCUCUUCUUGGAGAUUUUUUUAGCCACCAACACUGUUCAUUCGUCUAACUUAACUUUUUUUUUUUUUUUUGAUAAACCCUAUCGGCUGAUCCGGUCGGCCUCGGUAGGAACACACCGAGGUGCUACAGAGUGGACUUCUUCCGAUCCAGGUAGAAUUGGGUCACCACACUGGCUGAUCCGAGUUUGGAAUGCCUUCCGACUAAUGCCAGGGGUAGUCAGGCCGCCUGCAUUUCUGACUACCAGGUAAACCAAUUGGGCCAAGGUCCAACUGAGUAACUGACAGACUUCCCAAACAAAUGUGUUUUUGUUUCCAGGGAGAAUCGAACUCGGGUCUGGGAGUUUCACCCAAAUUCACUUCCACACAAUACAAAUUUGUAACAAAGGUUAAUGAAUUCUUGUGAUUUAUCAACAAACAAAAAUAACCAAAAUGUGACAUAUGAGAGACUAAGUUGUUGUAGACUAAUGGUUAUCACUUAAAAUGUAAAAAAAUUUCGUAGGUCUAGAUCAAGAAUCGAUUACUCUCAAAUAUUUUAAGAAAAAUCUGCACUUUGUAGUACAUUGGUUACCCUUAGAUAUUUUAAAUAUUUUUAAAAGCUAUGAUUUUUAUGGGUUCUGGAAAUUAAUUUUGAUUUUAAUUUAGUAUUUCUCUGUUUGAAAAAGAAAAGCAACUAAAUAAAAUAGAAAACAUGUAGAAAAAAUCAUGAUAUUUUUGCCUGUCCAAUUGUGAAAGUAGAUGGUUGGAUCUUUGUGUUUGGCAAAAUGGCAAUAGAAACGUAGAUCUAUAUUAUGACAAAACAAAAAAAAAAUCGAAGAGGCAAAAGCGCCAAUCUGUUAACUGAUUCAAAGCCACUCCUUCCAUAUCUUUGUUCAUAAACAAACGCUUAUCUUCUUAUCAUCUUCAAAAGUUUUCUCUUUUGCCUCUCAACAUUACAUGCCCUACAACAUAAAUGCGAGGACGUCGGUUAUAAACGGACACUAACAAAAUUAUGUCGUUUAUUCAACCGACUUGCUAAGGGCCAACGUAAGUUAUAUAGCCUGGAUUACGGAUUACCUACCAUGAAAUAUCUCAAUAAUAAGUCUUAUUCUAUGUUCCAUAAUCAUAAGAUUAUAAUUUCAUUCAAAUAUACUUCUUUGAAAUAAUACUGAUAUUUAAUAAAUAGUAUUGGGUUUCUUCAAAUUAUGCAUGCUUCGGAUAUUUGAUUAACUUUGUUUCACGAACUCUAAAGCCCUAAAUUAAUAUGAAUAAUUUUAAAAAUAAGUUUAUCAAAGAUAUAGCUUUAUUGCUGGCAACAAAAAAGGUAUAGCUAUAUUGCAAGAUCUUAUACUAUUAUUUGGGGAGUACACUUUAUAAGAUACCCUUAACUAACCUUUCCUUUUGUAAGAAUUUACUUAAGAAUGCCAUUACAAAAAUCUUCUUUUAGAACAAAUUUCAUUCAAUUUAUUAAGAAUAAACAAGUAAAGUACUAGUUUAUGUCAUUUAAUUAAUUUGACUAAAUUAUAAAACGAAAAUUUGUUAUUAUUUUUUUUAAAUGACCAAUCAAAAUGAACAUAUAAGAUUUGAUAUCUAACUUAUCAUAUUAAUUUGUUAUUAAUCAUUAAACUUCACCUCUCAUCUUAAUAUGAUUAUAUUAAUAUGAAAAAAACUAAAUCAUCAUAUCAUCUACAUAAUAAAAAAAAAGUAAUUUUUUUUUCUGCAUAUGCCAAGAUUUGAAUUUUUAAAAACGCAUAUAAAUUGUUCAAUCUAUAAAGGAAACAAUUAAACGGGUCAAAAAUUCAGACUUGAGUAGUAUAUUUCUUUUACACAAAAAUAAAGUCAACAAAAAUUCCGACUGAGCAACAGGUCAGAAUUUGAAUAUUUAGAUUCGAUUUCAUACAUUUAUUUUUUUGAAAUGCAUAAUUUUAUAUACUACAAUAAAAAUUUAAAUAUUUUAAUUUGCAACAAUUAAAAUAAGUUUUACUUGAUAUUUUUAGAGAAUAUCAUCAAUACUUAAUAGUUCAAAAAGUUAAAAAUUAUAAAUACUCUAAUUUGAUUAUUUUUAAAAAUAUUUAUAAUAGUUAGCGGGUUAAAUAUAAUAUAUUAUACGAUGAAAUGAGUUUUGAUCCAUAUAACUAUUUGAAUAGUUAUAUUUAAUUUCAUACAAUUUGUUUUUUGAAAUUCAUAAUUUUAUAAACUACAAAAAAAAUUUAAAGGUUUUAAUUUGGAAUAUUUAAAAAUAGUGUAGAACAUUUAAAUAUGGUUUGACACCUCUAAAUAUUUGAAAAUUUGAUUCUGCAAGCAAUUUUAGAAUUAACGAAUAAUAGAUUGUGCACGCAAUAUUUUAAAAUGAAAUAUUGAGAUUCUAAAAUAAAAAUAUAGACUCCACGCACGGGUUGAUUUUUGUAUUAUUAUAUACUAAAUAUAUGUUUUUAACAUAUUUGAUUAUGCGAAUAAUUGGUAAAUUCCGUAAUUAUAAAUCUCAAACAAAUUCUGUAAUUAGAUUAGCUCAAACAAAUCUCUAUUUCAACAACCAAAGAAUCAUAAAUUGAAAAAGAAUUUUCUAAAUUAAUUCAAAAUAAUUGCUAAUUUUCUUAAUUAAUUCAAAAUAAUCUAUGUUUUAUAUGGGAUUCAUUUAUGAUAUUUUAAUUUUUGAUCUAACUGAAAUAUAUGCAAUCCUAUUUUGUGGUUGUUAACAUAAAUUAACUCAUUGUUCAAAAAAUAUUACUUUUCAAGAAAUAAAAUUAUUUUCUGUUUUCAUAUCUUAAAAAAAUUUAUCUAUAAUUGAGUAUUAUAAAAAAAGUUCUAUAUUUAUUCUAAUAUUGUAUACAGGGACUGACAAAAAAAUUAAUAUUUUUUCACUUACUAUUAUAAUAUAUUAAAACUUAGUUCUAAUAUAUGUAUUAUAUAAAUUUUGUAAUAAAUAAAAUUCAACCCGUACUUUAGUACGGAUGAUGAUCUAGUUAAAUAUAUAUAAGGAUAUCUCUAUAUUAUAUUCGUUAAUUGUGAUUUGUCUGGUUUAGUUUUCAACGAACAAAUAGUUAAAUAAUACUUUCUUUGUUUCUAAAUAUAAAAUUUUAGAGUUUUUAUUCUGUUUUAAAAUAUAAAAUUUAUUCACGUUUCUAUGCAUAUAUUUAUUUUCAUACUGUUAAAAGUAUCUAGUCAAAAAAAGCCAAAGAUCAAUCACAACUCGUAUUGAUGGCUUCCGAAAUUUUAAUGUGACUAUUAGUAUUCUUUCUCUACGAAUGAUUUUUGUUUAUCAAAUGAUGUUUUUGUUUAAGAAAUAAUUCUUUUUUAAUUUGUGUGUUUUAACCAAAAUAUCAUAUAUUUUAUUUUGAUAUUCAUCGUAACUUUCCAAAUUCAUAUCUCAAUGAAAAAUUAAAAGUUUUUAAAUACGGAAAACACAACUUACAAUCUAUGAAAGUUAUUUUAUCGACAAUCGUAGUACAUAUUAUAUAUAGUUUUAGGAAUUGAAAUAUCAUCAUUCUUCUAAUGAGAACCCUAUAAAUACCCACUAAACACUUGAAGAAAACUAAAUACAGUACUAAUUCACCUAUUGUUGGAGCUAUUCCACUCGACAAACAAAUGACUCCAAGAACCUCUCUUACACUCUUCCUUGCUCUCAACCUCCUCUUCUUCACUUACACAUCUGCCGCAUUAUUGCCACCGAUCCCGGGCAUCUCGGGCAUCCCGGGCAUCCCGGACAUCCCGGGCAUCCCGAACAUCCCGGGCAUCCCGGACAUCCCUGGCAUCCCGGACAUCCCGGGCAUCCCAGCCACGCCAAACACCCCAGCCAACCCAGCCACGCCAAACACCCCAGCCAACCCAGCCACGCCAAACACCCCAGCCAACCCAGCCACGCCAAACACCCCAGCCAACCCAGCCACGCCAAACACCCCAGCCAACCCAGCCACACCAAACACCCCAGCCAACCCAGCCACACCAAAAACCCCGGCCACGCCAAACACCCCGACCACGCCAACGACCCCUGCCACUCCAGCCACCCCAGCAACGCCAAACACACCAGCAACACCGACCACCCCAACGUCUCCGACACCCCGCACAC
rnacentral:lncRNA from 1 species